rnacentral:lncRNA from 1 species
GACACUCACAAAAAAUAAUUAAAUAUAUAAAAUAGUAGUAAGAUCAAAUUUUCCUCACAAUAAACUGACAGACACUAACACCCACGAUAACAUUUACUUUGGCAUACACGUAUUGGUCAAUCAGGUGGAGUUAUGUAUUAAGAAUAUUAUUCAAAAUGAAGAUAUAGAAGCAAAACAUGGACCAGACUAAUAGGAUGAGCACGCUUGACCUUCAACAUUUACUUUGGCAUACAUGUAUUGGUCAAUCAGGUGGAGUUAUGCAUUAAGAAUAUUAUUCAAAAUGAAGAUAUAGAAGCAAAACAUGGACCAAACUAAUAGGAUGAGCACGCUUGACAUUAAGCCGACAUAUUUUAUGCAAUUAAAUCCUAAUAAAGUAUGUAAAACCUUCCAGUUCGAGGGAAAACAGAAUUUCACUCGAAUAAGCCCAAAACCGGGUAGACAAUCACACAUUAAGCAGUCAAUUUAAACGACAACAAUCGCACAAGAAGAAACUACAUUUGAACUAAUCAAUAGGGUAUUUCUUUUACGAUAAAGGCGUUGCUUAACACAUUAAAUUGAUUUGAGUGAAAACACAUAAGAUUAAGGGGAGGGGGCUGGACAAGGAAGUUAAAAGAACAAAAAAUAUCGCACAAAUCAUCAGAUAAUACCACGGGUUUUACAUUUAAAAAUCCGAUCAAGCUAUACCAAACCAAUCUGGGGCCAAACGAAAUCUAGAUCAAACUAUUCAACAAAGCUUGAAGACUCCUGGUAUCAACUAGCAUUCGAGCACGUCAGACAGACCUAUAUAAUAGCUAAAUCGAAAGACUCAUGAAAAGAUUAUGCCUAAAAACACUAUUAAGUCAAACCAACAUGAAAAUAUAUUCCCAUGAUAUUAUAACACACCUCAAAUCGCCAAGAAGCACAUCAACAUGAGAAUGGACACACGAAUAAAGGUCGACAUAAUACUACAUGAAAUUUCCAACUCUGAAUAAUAGCACUGAAAUGGAUUGAACUAUACUUGGACCGAACAACGUACAACAGAUUCGCAGUCACAUGUUGAAAUCAAAACAAUUCCAACCGAUAACAGGAAUGAAUUCAUUUUAGAGAUGAGCCAUCAAGGCCUGUGACCCAGGCUGAACAAGAUUAUGACAAAUCAUAAUAGCUAAAAUCAUGAAUAGACAUAAAAGCAGCCUGAUUGUGCAGCUAAUAUGCUCAAAAUUGAAACCACCUAAACAAAAGAUCAUCUCGAGUGAAGCUAAACAGAGACGACUAGUUUUCACAACAAGAAGAAGCCACAUCGAAGCUAAGGAAAUUAAUCCAACAGUGUUUUGCUAUUUCGCAUACAACAGCUCACCAUUCUAAAUUCAAAAUAAACGAGGGAGGGGCGAAAGAGUAAAGGGAGAGUGUACCUCUUUUGGAGCAGCGAACUCGGGACAGCAACGAGCUUAAGACGACUGACCUCCACCACUACACGUCCCUACUCGAGCACGAUAACCGAAGCUAGUUCUCCUCUAUUUUUCGGAAGUAUUCAGUAAGUAUUUUAGCUAUUUUCUCUUGAGCUAUUGUGUGUAUUUUUGCUCAAAAUAAAAAUCCAACUAAAAAAUCUCUUUUUCUUUACAGUGAACAACAAGAAAAUAUAUAGAGGGGAGAAUGGGUUCGGAUUCGGGGGAAAAAAAAUGGAUCCCAAAACCGGAUUCAAAGCCCUUCAAGAAUUCAAAACUCAAAACCUC